rnacentral:pre_miRNA from 1 species
AUAUGAAUCGCCUGGACGUCCUGUUAAAAUGUAGAUUCUCAUUCAGGAGUUCUGAGUGGAGCCCAAGAUUCUGUAGUUCUAACAAGCUCUCAGGUGAUGGCGAU